UACAGAGGUGGCAAGCGUUGUUCGGAAUUACUGGGCGUAAAGGGCGCGUAGGCGGUCUUGUAAGUCUCGUGUGAAAUCCCUCGGCUUAACUGAGGAACUGCACGGGAUACUGCUUGACUUGAGUUCGGGAGAGGUAAGCGGAAUUCCUGGUGUAGCGGUGAAAUGCGUAGAUAUCAGGAGGAACACCUGCGGUGUAGACGGCUUACUGGACCAUAACUGACGCUGAGGCACGAAAGCGUGGGUAGCAAACAGG
rnacentral:rRNA from 1 species